GGCCGCAGUAUUUUGACUGUGCAAAGGUAGCAUAAUCAUUAGUCUUUUAAUUGAAGGCUGGUAUGAAUGGUUGGACGAGGUAAAUACUGUUUUAUAGAAAUUAUAAUUGAAUUUAGAUUUUAAGUAAAAAGACUUAAAUUGUAUUAAGGGACGAGAAGACCCUAUAGAGUUUAAUAUGUGUAAUUUUGGUUAAGUUAUUAAGAAAAUUUUGGUCAUUAUGAAAUUUAUUUAAUUGGGGUGAUAGAAAAAUAAGAUGAACUUUUUUUUAAUUUAAAUAUUUUAAGUAAAUAGAUGAUCCAUAUUUAGUGAUUAGAAGAUUAAAUUACCUUAGGGAUAACAGCAUAA
rnacentral:rRNA from 1 species